UACAGAGGUGGCAAGCGUUGCUCGGUAUCACUGGGCUUAAAGGGCGCGUAGGCGGUGCGGUACGGUUUCGGUGAAAUCCCUCGGCCCAACCGAGGAACAGCCGGAGCUACGGCCGCACUAGACGGCAUCAGGGGACAGUGGAACUUCCGGUGGAGCGGUGAAAUGCGUAGAUAUCUGGAGGAACACCGGUGGCGAAGGCGGCAUCCUGGACCGGUAUUGACGCUGAGGCGCGAAAGCGUGGGGAGCGAACAGG
rnacentral:rRNA from 1 species